GGCAAGUGAUGUUAAGAAGAUAUUUGCUACUCUUGAUGGGAUUACAUAUAAUCCUGUUUGAUGAUUUAUUAACCACCAAGAUCUCUGAGGCC
rfam:Helianthus annuus linkage group 10, whole genome shotgun sequence.